UGGGGAAUUUUGGACAAUGGGGGCAACCCUGAUCCAGCCAUGCCGCGUGAGUGAAGAAGGCCUUCGGGUUGUAAAGCUCUUUCGGCCGGGAAGAAAUCGCCUUGGUUAAUACCUGAGGUGGAUGACGGUACCGGAAGAAGAAGCACCGGCUAACUACGUGCCAGCAGCCGCGGUAAUACGUAGGGUGCGAGCGUUAAUCGGAAUUACUGGGCGUAAAGCGUGCGCAGGCGGCGCCAUAAGACAGCUGUGAAAUCCCCGGGCUUAACCUGGGAACUGCGGUUGUGACUGUGGUGCUUGAGUGCGGCAGAGGGGGGUGGAAUUCCACGUGUAGCAGUGAAAUGCGUAGAGAUGUGGAGGAACACCGAUGGCGAAGGCAGCCCCCUGGGUUGACACUGACGCU
rnacentral:rRNA from 1 species